CCCUUAGAUGUUCUGGGCUGCACGCGCGCUACACUGAAGCUAUCAACACGUUUUCCCUCCCUGAGAAGGGCGGGUAACCUUCUGAAUCAGCUUCGUGGUAGGGAUCGGGGCUUGCAAUUGUUCCCCGUGAACCAGGAAUUCCUAGUAGACGCGAGUCAUAAGCUCGCAUCGAUUAAGUCCCUGCCCUUUGUACACACCGCCCGUCGCUACUACCGAUUGAACGUUUUAGGGAGGCAUUUGGACCGACGCAUCUCAGUUUAACCGCUGGUUUGUGUUGGAAAGACUUCCAAACUUGAGCGUUUAGAGGAAGUAAAAGUCGUAACA
rnacentral:rRNA from 1 species